GUGAGGAAUAUUGCGCAAUGGAGGCAACUCUGACGCAGCCAUGCCGCGUGCAGGAAGAAGGCGCUACGCGUUGUAAACUGCUUUUAACCGGGAAGAAACCCCAGGACGUGUCCUGGGUUGACGGUACCGGAGGAAUAAGCACCGGCUAACUUCGUGCCAGCAGCCGCGGUAAUACGAAGGGUGCAAGCGUUAUCCGGAUUCAUUGGGUUUAAAGGGUGAGUAGGCGGAGCGUUAAGUCAGUGGUGAAAUCCUGCAGCUUAACUGUAGACUUGCCAUUGAUACUGGCGCUCUUGAGUGCGCUUGAAGUGGGCGGAAUGUGCCGUGUAGCGGUGAAAUGCUUAGAUAUGGCACAGAACACCAAUUGCGAAGGCAGCUCACUAAGGCGAUACUGACGCUGAGGCACGAAAGCGUGGGGAUCGAACAGGAUUAGAUACCCUAGUAGUCC
rnacentral:rRNA from 1 species